rnacentral:lncRNA from 1 species
GGGUUCUUUGGUAAAGAACAAGGGUUGGCAGAUUUCUUCUGUAAAGAGUCAGAUAGUAAAUGUUUUAGGCUCUGUAGCCUCUGUGGUCUCCUUCAUAACUACUCAACCUGCUAUUGUAGUGAGAAAACGUCCAUAGACAAUAUGUAAACAAAUGAGUGUGGCUGUGUUCCAAUAAAACUUUAUUUACAAAAACAGCAGUGGACAUAACUAGUGAGUAGAUGAGUCAGGGCAAUAACUCAGGUCCCCUGACUUCUAAACUAAUGUCCUUUCCCCACACCAUGCUGAUUUUAUUUCUUAGGAACCAGCAAGUUUCUAAGUAAAAAAAUAAAAGUUUUUUUAAUUCAAAAAAAUCCAUUUGAGAAAAUAAAAACUUCUAAACUUCUCCCCCCCCCCCCCCCCCAAAAAAAAGAAAAGACCACAGGCAGGCUGGAUUUUUGCCCUGGGCCAUAAUCUGCUUACCCUUAUGUAGGGGAAACUUUAAAUUCCCUAACUCUUCUGUUUGCUGAAACAUGUCUUCCCUAAUAGUUUCAGACCCCUGUGCCAGGCAUGGAGUUCCUCUUUUGUGACAUGCUGAUCCCUGCUGUUCCAAAGCGGAGCCUUGCAACAUCCAGGGACUGGAGCGAACAGAAACUACCUUGGCUCCAACUCAAUGUUGUCAUGUGGUAACAGACCACAAACCUAAGCCACUUCCGGCUUGUUGUUUAACUCUUGGCCCACGUGUGUUUUGUUUCUGUUUUAUUGGCUCUUCAGUGGAACUGCAAAAAGACUCGUGGCCUCCUUUCAUCCAGCCAGGGAAAACCAGCAACCACCUCUCUUUCCACAACCUUCUUGAAGCAUUGAAGACCAGAGUACUGUUUGGCAGGACCAACACGGAUUUUACCACCAGGUGCAGGAGACAGCUACCAUGAGGGACCUUUGAGACACAUAAUAACUCUGCUGCAUCCUUUCCAAGCUCUUCCCUGAAAUUCCAUCACAACAGCUAUAAUACUUUGAUUUAAAUUUUUUUGUUUCCCAUUAAAAUAUAAAUGCCCAAAGGAAGGGUAAUGUCUUAAACUCUCUGGAAUCAUUUAUCCCUUAGGGGGAGUCAGAUACUUCACUGACAUUAGGUUUUUAU